rfam:Colletotrichum sublineola strain TX430BB Scaffolds0325.1, whole genome shotgun sequence.
GGCCGGUUGGCCCAAUGGCAAGGCGUCUGACUACGACUCGCGGGUCUCAAUUCAGAGAUCGGAGGCUGUGUAAUCAGGAGAUUCUGGGUUCGACCCCCAGGCUGGUCA